GGUUAUCGCUAUAUAAACUAUGAACCCCUAUAUCCGUUUGGUUACGGUUUGUCUUACACUAGUUUUAACUACUCUAAUCUACAACAUAAUAAAACACUGGAAGCUGGUAACAAUCUACUAGGUACUGUUCAUGUCACCAAUACAGGAUCCAUUGAUGCUGACGAGGUUGUUCAAGUUUAUAUAUCAUGGAUAUCGCCAUCAGUACCAACACAGCAACUGCAACUAGCUAAUUUCACCCGUGUGUAUAUACCCUCUGGUAAAACUGUGAUUAUUACCUUUACUGUGCAAGCUGAGAGCAUGGCAGUCUGGGUGGACGAGACUACAGGAUGGGAAGUACAACAAGGUAAAUUCAACUUGUAUGUCGGCGGUCAGCAGCCAAACCAAAAGAUGAAUAUUGGAUCAAAUGUUUUACCAAGUCACUUCCAGGUUACGGGGUCGAGGAAUUUAGGGCAAUAUUAAUUAUUUUAAAG